AGGCAGCACCCUUCUGCAGAAGUAAAUUGCCUUGCUGAGAAAACCUUUGCCUGAGUGCUGGUUUCACUUUGCAGCUCUGAGCAUUUGUUUCCAGCAAAUCUGGGGACUCAUCCAGGAUCCCCAUUUUCCUCCAGGAAAGGGGUCUCCAGUCACCUCUCAUGAGGAGACGCGUCCCACUGCCUCAUUGAGGUGGCCUCAGGGUGAAGAAUCAGGACCCACCUGGUGCAACGAAUAAACCCAGACUCUCAGCAUCGCGAGGAGAAAAAGUCUUGCAACACCGUGGCGACCAAGUAACUCUGUGCACAUACUAAGGUCUCAAAACACAGGCACGGCCCCUGGAGUUCCCAGUACAUCAACAUCAGCCUGGGGAUCAUGUCCUCAUCAAAAGCUGGAAAGAGGAGAAACUCGAACCAGCCUGGGAAGGACCUUACCUGGUGCUCCUAACACUGAAACCACAGUCCAGAUAGCAGAAAAAGGAUGGACCCAUCACACCCCAGUCAAGAAAGCAUCACCACCUCCGGAGUCAUGGGCCGUUAUCCCAGGGGAAAACCCUACCAAACUAACGCUAAGAAAAGUUUAACUCUCCUUCAUCUAUUCUAUUACUCCUUCUUCUUUCCUCAUUCUAUGGCUGACCACCUCAUUAUUAAUGUAACCAGGUCAAGCUCACCCCAAACUAUUACCUUCGAUGCAUGUCUUGUCAUACCCUGUGGAGAUCUCCAAAGUCAAAAGCAACUCUCAGACUCAGAGAAGUAUCUCUGCCCCUUUAAGAUAAAAGGCUCCCCCUAUCAAGAC
rnacentral:lncRNA from 10 species